rnacentral:tRNA from 1 species
GCACUGGUGGUUCAGUGGUAGAAUUCUCACCUUCCAUGUUGGGAGACCAGGUUCAAUUCCCAGUCAAUGCA